AACGAACGCUGGCGGCAGGCCUAACACAUGCAAGUCGAACGCCGUAGCAAUACGGAGUGGCAGACGGGUGAGUAACACGUGGGAACAUACCCUUCGGUUCGGAAUAACUCAGGGAAACUUGAGCUAAUACCGGAUACGUCCGCGAGGAGAAAGAUUCAUCGCCGGAGGAUUGGCCCGCGUCUGAUUAGCUUGUUGGUGAGGUAACGGCUCACCAAGGCGACGAUCAGUAGCNGGUCUGAGAGGAUGAUCAGCCACAUUGGGACUGAGACACGGCCCAAACUCCUACGGGAGGCAGCAGUGGGGAAUAUUGGACAAUGGGCGCAAGCCUGAUCCAGCCAUGCCGCGUGAGUGAUGAAGGCCCUAGGGUUGUAAACCCCUUUCGGCAGGGACGAAGCGAAAGUGACGGUACCUGCAGAAGAAGCGCCGGCUAACUACGUGCCAGCAGCAGCCGCAGUAAG
rnacentral:rRNA from 1 species